rnacentral:rRNA from 1 species
CCUACGGGUGGCAGCAGUGAGGAAUAUUGGUCAAUGGUCGGGAGCCUGAACCAGCCAAGUCGCGUGAGGGAGGACGGCACUGCGUAUUGUAAACCUCUUUUGUCAGGGAAUAAAGUGUGGCACGCGUCCCUUGUUGAGUGUAUUUUAUGAAUAAGGAUCGGCUAACUCCGUGCCAGCAGCCGCGGUAAUACGGAGGAUCCGAGCGUUAUCCGGAUUUAUUGGGUUUAAAGGGAGCGUAGAUGGGUUGUUAAGUCAGGUGUGAAAGUUUGGGGCUCAAACGCAGAAUUGCAAUUGAUACUGGCAGCCUCGAGUACAGUUGAGGUAGGCGGAAUGCGUGGUGUAGCGGUGAAAUGCAUAGAUAUCACGAAGAACUCCGAUUGCGAAGGCAGCCUACCAAACUGCCACUGACAUUGAUGCACGAAAGCGUGGGUAUCAAACAGGAUUAGAUACCCGGGUAGUC